UAAGUGGUAGCUCAGUGGUUAAGACGUUGGACUACUGAUCAGAAGGUCAUGAGUUCAAUCCCUAGCACCACCAAG